rnacentral:rRNA from 1 species
AUGAACGCUGGCGGCGUGCUUAACACAUGCAAGUCGAACGAAGCAUUUAAGACAGAUUACUUCGGUUUGAAGUCUUUUAUGACUGAGUGGCGGACGGGUGAGUAACGCGUGGGUAACCUGCCUCAUACAGGGGGAUAGCAGCUGGAAACGGCUGGUAAUACCGCAUAAGCGCACAGUACCACAUGGUACAGUGUGAAAAACUCCGGUGGUAUGAGAUGGACCCGCGUCUGAUUAGCUUGUUGGCGGGGUAACGGCCCACCAAGGCGACGAUCAGUAGCCGACCUGAGAGGGUGACCGGCCACAUUGGGACUGAGACACGGCCCAGACUCCUACGGGAGGCAGCAGUGGGGAAUAUUGCACAAUGGAGGAAACUCUGAUGCAGCGACGCCGCGUGAGUGAAGAAGUAGUUCGCUAUGUAAAGCUCUAUCAGCAGGGAAGAUAGUGACGGUACCUGACUAAGAAGCGCCGGCUAAAUACGUG